GGCCUCGUAGCUCAGCUGGUAGAGCAUACGAGUACAAAGCGUAGGUGGCGUCCAUUCUUGGGUUCGAAUCCCACCGAGGCUA
rnacentral:tRNA from 1 species